CGGGAGGCAGCAGUGGGGAAUAUUGCACAAUGGGCGCAAGCCUGAUGCAGCCAUGCCGCGUGUAUGAAGAAGGCCUUCGGGUUGUAAAGUACUUUCAGCGAGGAGGAAGGCGUUGUGGUUAAUAACCGCAGCGAUUGACGUUACUCGCAGAAGAAGCACCGGCUAACUCCGUGCCAGCAGCCGCGGUAAUACGGAGGGUGCAAGCGUUAAUCGGAAUUACUGGGCGUAAAGCGCACGCAGGCGG
rnacentral:rRNA from 1 species